AGCCAUGCAUGUCUAAGUAUAAGCACUUGUACUGUGAAACUGCGAAUGGCUCAUUAAAUCAGUUAUCGUUUAUUUGAUUGUACCUUACUACAUGGAUACCUAUGGUAAUUCUAGAGCUAAUACAUAUGCACAGACCCAACUCUUAGGAAGGGUCGCGCUUACUAGAUUCUGAACCAACCCAGGCUUGCCUGGUCUUGAGUUGACUCAUAGUAACCAGUGAAUCGCGUGCUUCGUGCGGCGAUGUGUCAUUCGAGUUUCUGACCUAUCAGCUUCCGACGGUAGGGUAUUGGCCUACCGUGGCUUUGACGGGUAACGGAGAAUUAGGGUUCGAUUCCGGAGAGGGAGCCUGCGAAACGGCUACCACAUCUNAGGAAGGCAGCAGGCGCGCAAAUUACCCAAUCCUGACAUAGGGAGGUAGUGACAAGAAAUACCAAUACGAGGCAAUCACGUCUAGUAAUUGGAAUGAGCGAGAUUUACAACGCUUCGCGAGUAUCAAUUGGAGGGCAAGUCUGGUGCCAGCAGCCGCGGUAAUUCCAGCUCCAAUAGCGUAUAUUAAAGUUGUUGCGGUUAAAAAGCUCGUAGUUGGAUUUCUGUCGGUGAGUGGCGGUCCGCCCCCUGUGGUGAGCACUCGUCAAGCCACCGGCAUCUUCCUGGGGACUGCGCUGCACUUCACUGUGUGGCGUACUAUCCAGGACGUUUACUUUGAGGAAAUGAGAGUGUUUCAAGCAAGCAUCCGCCAUGAAUACGUUAGCAUGGAAUAAUAGCAUCGGACCUCGAUCUGAAGCUGUUGGUUUCUUGGGUCGAGGUAAAGGUGAAUAGGGAUAGUUGGGGGUGCUAGUAUUCAAUGGCCAGAGGUGAAAUUCUAUGACCCAUUGAAGACUGACUACUGCGAAAGCAUUCACCAAGGAU
rnacentral:rRNA from 1 species